AGCAGCCGCGGUAAUUCCAGCUCCAAUAGCGUAUAUUAAAGUUGUUGCAGUUAAAAGCUCGUAGUUGAAUUUCGGGAUUGACGUGAUGGUCAUGCCUUAAGGGGUAUGAACUGUCGCUGUUGAUUUCUCACCUUCUGGAGAAACUUGAUGUCCUUAAUUGGGUGUCUUGCGGAUCCAGGACCUUUACCUUGAAAAAAUUAGAGUGUUUAAAGCAGGCAUUUUUGCUCGAAUACAUUAGCAUGGAAUAAUAGAAUAGGACAGCAUGGUUCUAUUUUGUUGGUUUCUAGGAUCACCGUAAUGAUUAAUAGGGAUAGUUGGGGGCAUUAGUAUUCAAUUGUCAGAGGUGAAAUUCUUGGAUUUAUUGAAGACUAACUACUGCGAAAGCAUUUGCCAAGGAUGUUUUCAUUAAUCAAGAACGAAAGUUAGGGGAUCGAAGACGAUCAGAUACCGUCGUAGUCUUAACCAUAAACUAUGCCGACUAGGAAUCAGACGAUGUUAAUUUUUAAUUGACUUCG
rnacentral:rRNA from 1 species